ACAAUUAUCAUCAUAGGCAAAAACAAAUUUAGCAUAGGGAGAUUAAUGUAAUUUAUUACCUAUUAUUAACAAAGUAGAGAAGUAAGAAACUAAAAAACGAACUAAAAACACCUCUCCCCCAUUCACCCUCUCCUACCUCCUUCCCCCAGGUGGCGCAGGGGAAUGGGGAAUGGGGAACGGGGGCUGCGGGCUGCAAUCACUUUGCCGCUCCUUCACGGUCACUCCCUGCCCCUGCUCCACAUGGGGUCCCUCCCACGGGAUGCUGUCUUUCCCAUCAGGAGCAAACUGCUCCAGCACGCAUCCCCCGCGGCGGCAGCUCCCACCAGGCCCCGUGCUCCUGCGUGGGCUCCUCUCCACGGGCUGCAGCGUGGAGAUCUGCUCCAUGGGGGACCCAUGGGCUGCAGGGGGACAGCCUGCUCCACCAGGGGCCUCUCCACAGGCCACAAGGAAACUUCUGCUACAUGCCUGGAGUGCCUCCUGCCAUCCUGCUGCACUGACCUUGGGAUCUGUAAGGCAGUUAUACACCUUGUGUACACUUCAAUCUUUGAAUCAACAAAACUGAAGGAAGAGAACAGACUUCUGACAUGUCCCUACAUGCAAUGGUAGCUGUUACAUGCACCGAGCUGUUAGGAUAAACUGGAAAUCACACAUUGCUGUAUGUGCUGACCAAAGUCACUAACUCCUAUGGUGAUCGGGAUUAUCUGUAUUUUACUCAGGUAUCAAGUUGUACUACUCAGCAUUUAUUAAUUACGAAUUCUAAUUAUUUUAUCCUGCUUACAUAGUUUAUAAUCUCAAACUGAGAUGAAUUUAUUCAGAUAAUUUGAGUGUCAAUGUCUACAUUUAAAGGUCGAUUUGACAGAUUUGAUAUUAAUUUAGAGAGUCUAUACUUAGAAUACAGUUCCACGUUGAUGACUGGACAUCAAGAAUGAGGUUCAUGACAAUUUGUUUUAACUGUGUAAGCUAGUUGUCUUUUUAAGUCCCAUCUUCUGGGUCCCUUUUUAGUCACCAGAGUGAUAAAGAUGUUUGUACAUUUCUCAACACAGUUUCUCUCUGGAGGUGCCCUUCUCAGGGGAGUUUUUGAAUUGUUUGUGCUAAAUGCCUAGAUUGUAUGUGUCUAAAAUGAAAAGAGAUGAAUACCACUGCAAGUAAGGAGUGCUUUGUUUUGUUUUGUUUAAGAAAGUGUUGGUAAAAUUUUUUACUUUGAAUGAUUGUUUUAGUCUGCCUAAAUAUAAUCUGUAUCUGUUGUCUGAUUGCCCUUGAAAUGUAUGGAAAAGUAAGUCAGUACCUCCAUUCUCAGUUAUCUCUUUUUAAGAUUCAGUUCUACGGGGCAGGAAUUUAAAUUCAGGGAACUUUACCAUGUACUCAGAAUUACUUCGUGCUUAAGCACUUUCAGACUUUUCUCUCAUCAUGUCUUAAAGGGUUUAUACUACGGUUGUUUUAAUGAAACAAAAGAUUUGGGUAUGGAAAUACAGCAGAACCAUUACAGGACACAGGUUUCAAUUAGUGCUAAGGACUGAAUGCAAUCUCUGUCAUUACUAUUGUAGCCACUUUGCUUGCUCUCCAAGAUGUGGCGGCUGUUCACGUGCUGUAGUGAGGUACGCAAAGCUUGUCACAACAUUAUUGAGGAGAGAGGGGUUACUGACUGUUCUGCAUGCCUAAUUUUAAGAACUGUAUUUUUUACAUCUGUAAUUCUUCUUCUUUGUUUCAUAUGGAGUAUUUUGUAUUGCUCUGUAUGGCACUAAUUUUAGUUAUUUAGCUUUUAUUUAGUAAUUUAGCUUUUGGUAGACAGUUUACAUACUAUGGAACUGAGGUUAUAGUUGCUUUUGUUUCUCUACCUCUGAAGCUUUCUCUGAAAGCACAAGAGCCUGGGUUGUCAUUAUGAUUAACUAGUCAGAUAUUUUGUAAUUUUAAAGUGCUUAAUGUUUCAACUAUAAAGACAUUGAUUUUUACAAAUA